rnacentral:rRNA from 1 species
UACAGAGGGUGCAAGCGUUAAUCGGAAUUACUGGGCGUAAAGCGUGCGUAGACGGUUAUGUAAGUCGGGUGUGAAAGCCCCGGGCUCAACCUGGGAAUGCCAUUCGAGACUGCAUAGCUAGGGUGCGGAAGAGGGAAGCGGAAUUUCCGGUGUAGCGGUGGAAUGCGUAGAUAUCUGGAGGAACACCGGUGGCGAAGGCGGCAUCCUGGACCAAUAUUGACGCUGAGGAGCGAAAGCCAGGGGAGCAAACGGG